rnacentral:rRNA from 1 species
CGUAUACGGUGGAUGCCUUGGCAGUUAGAGGCGAUGAAGGACGUGUAAGUCUGCGAUAAGCUGUGGAGAGCCGACAAAAUGCUUUGACCCACAGAUUUCCGAAUGGGGAAACCCACCGCUUCGGCGGUAUCUUAUAGUGAAUACAUAGCUAUAAGAAGCGAACGAGGGGAACUGAAACAUCUAAGUACCCUUAGGAAAAGAAAUCAACAGAGAUUCCCCUAGUAGCGGCGAGCGAACGGGGAGCAGCCGAGUAGUAAUGAAGUAGUGGAAUGUGUUGGAAAGCACAGCGAUACAGGGUGAUAGCCCCGUACACGAAGCGUCAUUAUUGCCAUAUUAAGUAGGUCGGGACACGUGUUAUCUUGACUGAAUAUGGGGGGACCAUCCUCCAAGGCUAAAUACUCCUAACUGACCGAUAGUGAACCAGUACCGUGAGGGAAAGGCGAAAAGAACCCCUGUGAGGGGAGUGAAAUAGAACCUGAAACCGUAUACGUACAAGCAGUGGGAGCCCUUCGGGGUGACUGCGUACCUUUUGUAUAAUGGGUCAGCGACUUAUAUUUAGUAGCAAGGUUAACCGAAUAGGGGAGCCGUAGCGAAAGCGAGUGUUAACUGCGCGUUUAGUUGCUAGGUAUAGACCCGAAACCGAGUGAUCUAGCCAUGGGCAGGUUGAAGGUUGAGUAACAUCAACUGGAGGACCGAACCGACUAACUUUGAAAAGUUAGCGGAUGACUUGUGGCUGGGGGUGAAAGGCCAAUCAAACUCGGAGAUAGCUGGUUCUCCCCGAAAGCUAUUUAGGUAGCGCCUCGGACGAAUACCACAGGGGGUAGAGCACUGUUAAGGCUAGGGGGUCAUCCCGACUUACCAACCCUUUGCAAACUCCGAAUACCAAUGAGAACUAUCCGGGAGACACACGGCGGGUGCUAACGUCCGUCGUGGAGAGGGAAACAACCCAGACCGCCAGCUAAGGUCCCUAAAUAUUACUAAGUGGGAAACGAGGUGGGAAGGCUAAGACAGCUAGGAGGUUGGCUUAGAAGCAGCCACCCUUUAAAGAAAGCGUAAUAGCUCACUAGUCGAGUCGGCCUGCGCGGAAGAUGUAACGGGGCUAAGUAAUAUACCGAAGCUGCGGACGCAAAGUUUACUUUGCGUGGUAGGGGAGCGUUGUGUAAGUGGCUGAAGGUGAGCUGAGAGGCGAGCUGGACAUAUCACAAGUGCGAAUGCUGACAUGAGUAACGAUAAGGGGAGUGAAAAACUCCCCCGCCGGAAGACCAAGGUUUCCUGUCCCAUGCUAAUCAGGGCAGGGUAAGUCGGCCCCUAAGGCGAGGCAGAAAUGCGUAGUCGAUGGGAAACGGAUUAAUAUUUCCGUACUUGGUAUAUCAGUGAAGGGGGGACGGAGAAGGUUAUGCAAG